rnacentral:rRNA from 1 species
GACGAACGCUGGCGGCGUGCUUAACACAUGCAAGUCGAACGAUGAAGAAGAGCUUGCUCUUCGGAUUAGUGGCGAACGGGUGAGUAACACGUGACUAACCUGCCCCUUUCUCUGGGAUAACGCUCCGAAAGGAGUGCUAAUACCGGAUGCUCACAUCGAGGCACAUGCCCUGAUGUGGAAAGUUUUUCGGAAAGGGAUGGAGUCGCGGCCUAUCAGCUUGUUGGUGGGGUGAUGGCCUACCAAGGCGACGACGGGUAGCCGGCCUGAGAGGGUGACCGGCCACACUGGGACUGAGAUACGGCCCAGACUCCUACGGGAGGCAGCAGUGGGGAAUAUUGCACAAUGGGCGCAAGCCUGAUGCAGCGACGCCGCGUGAGGGAUGACGGCCUUCGGGUUGUAAACCUCUUUCAGCACCGACGAAGCGCAAGUGACGGUAGGUGCAGAAGGAGGACCGGCCAACUACGUGCCAGCAGCCGCGGUAA